rnacentral:Y_RNA from 10 species
UGUCUCCUCCAAAUGCAGUGGUUUUUACAUCUGAUUAAUCACAACCAGUUACCCAUUUCUUUGUUCCUUCUUCACUCUCACUGCUUCACUUGACGAGCAUUAU